rnacentral:rRNA from 3 species
UUGAACGCUGGCGGCAGGCCUAACACAUGCAAGUCGAGCGGCAGCACGGGUACUUGUACCUGGUGGCGAGCGGCGGACGGGUGAGUAAUGCCUAGGAAUCUGCCUGGUAGUGGGGGAUAACGCUCGGAAACGGACGCUAAUACCGCAUACGUCCUACGGGAGAAAGCAGGGGACCUUCGGGCCUUGCGCUAUCAGAUGAGCCUAGGUCGGAUUAGCUAGUUGGUGAGGUAAUGGCUCACCAAGGCGACGAUCCGUAACUG